CCAGUGACUCCAGCACCCAAGGAAGGAGAAGAAUGUUUUCCCAGGAAGCUUCUGUGGAAAAGUCUGAGUUUGCCUAUGAAACAAGGAGCCGUGUAAUUCUUCCUGACAGCCACCUAUUUAAAAUGAAAGUCAAACACUCAGAAUUUUGUUUAAGAGUUGAGUCUUGGGGAGAAAAUGCAUUAAUUGCUAAACGUUGCUAAUUUCACUCUGAUGUGGUAACAAAAAGAAUGAAUCUCCAUACAUACACACAAGAGGACCAAUGAAACCAGCGUUGGGGCAAGGACGGCAGUCAGAAUGUCAGAGCCAGAGGUCCGUCUCAGAGCUUGUGUGGCGAAACCCCUCCCUUAUUUCACAGAUGAGGACACUGAGGUCCAGAGAGGUUAAGUGACUUGCUGAAGGUUGCCCCAGCCUAGGCGGCAGGUCCAAGGCUGACUGACGCCCGCAGGCUUGAAUGGCCUCCAUGCAGCAGCUGGUUGAUCCCGGGGAAACAGAAGCCACGCAUUCCUUCCGCAUAUCAGCACUCAGGCCAUCUGGGGUGCUGCCCGCCCUGCAGGGCUGCUGUGUUUCAAGUACUGCCUGCCGGGGGUCCUUGUGCCGGACAAGCGGCCUGCAGAGACCCUCCUCCGAGGCUGGAGAUCUGUGCCUCGGUAACCAGGACAGUGGGCACAGACCCACUGAGCCACCAUCUGCGACAGCUGAGCUGUGAGACACAGGUGCCAAGGGCCUUUGUCGGCGAGCAAGACUGCCGUCCGCGGGCCAGAGCCGGGGAGAGUGCCCGGCUGGGCAGGCAAGGCAGCUUGCGUGGGCUCUAGCCCUGGUCUAAGGUGCCUCUGCAGCCUCCUGGUGAAGAAAGGCUGCUUGGCCGGAAGCCGUGGGUGUGUGGGCCCCACUGUGAGUGGAUGGAGCAUUAUUUCUGAACUCAGACGGCUGUCGGUUCAAAUCCCUUCUUCGCGGGGCACACGCAGUGAGCUGUUUCAACCUCUCUCUGUUUCUGAUCCUGCCUCUGGCCAGUGUGAUUCACAGCAUUGAUCAGGCAGAGUUUGGGGGCCGAGUGAAUGCGUGCUACGUGCCAGCCCAGGUGCCACAAAGGCGGCCGAGGCUUAGACCAGCAAGCACAAAACAGGGGCCCGAGGGCCUUGCUCAGCCACAGACGUCUUUGCAGGCCUGCAUGUGCAACUCUACAAAUGUGAUUUGAAGGCACCCUGGCCAGGGCCUGAGCUCCCUGUAUGUCCUGAACCCACCGGCCCACGUGGGCUCACAGCCAGCCACUUCAUUCGUGUGACUGUCCUGACUUUCCAGCCCUGAAGGGAUCCUUUCUGUCUCACGCCAAAAGAUGCUUGUUCACCUCCUCUCCCGCUCCCACCAAAGCGCCAUGUCUUUUCCAUCCCAGCUCUGGUAACAUGGCCAGACCACGUCCAGUUUCCCACUCAACUGGGAGCACCUAGAGGGCAGGGGCCAUGUCGCAUCCCUACGUGAGCAGACGUGGGCUCCAGGAGAUGCAGUCAUGCAACAAACUGGGGUUGCAUCUAGGCUCCAGGGACAUAGCUGUGAAUAAUUUUGAGAAGGGCCAAACCUGGGCUUAUGCCAGUGGGAGAGCUGAACAACUGCAUAAAUCAGCAAGAUUUGUAAGAAGAAGGUAAAAAAAAAAAAAAAAAAAAAGGUAA